rnacentral:rRNA from 1 species
UUAAGUAGACCGCCUGGGGAGUACGGCCGCAAGGUUAAAACUCAAAUGAAUUGACGGGGGCCCGCACAAGCGGUGGAGCAUGUGGUUUAAUUCGAUGCAACGCGAAGAACCUUACCUGGUCUUGACAUCCACAGAAGAAUCCAGAGAUGGAUUUGUGCCUUCGGGAACUGUGAGACAGGUGCUGCAUGGCUGUCGUCAGCUCGUGUUGUGAAAUGUUGGGUUAAGUCCCGCAACGAGCGCAACCCUUAUCCUUUGUUGCCAGCGGUCCGGCCGGGAACUCAAAGGAGACUGCCAGUGAUAAACUGGAGGAAGGUGGGGAUGACGUCAAGUCAUCAUGGCCCUUACGAUCAGGGCUACACACGUGCUACAAUGGCGCAUACAAAGAGAAGCGACCUCGCGAGAGCAAGCGGACCUCAUAAAGUGCGUCGUAGUCCGGAUUGGAGUCUGCAACUCGACUCCAUGAAGUCGGAAUCGCUAGUAAUCGUGGAUCAGAAUGCCACGGUGAAUACGUUCCCGGGCCUUGUACACACCGCCCGUCACACCAUGGGAGUGGGUUGCAAAAGAAGUAGGUAGCUUAACCUUCGGGAGGGCGCUUACCACUUUGUGAUUCAUGACUGGGGUGAAGUCGUAACAAGGUAACCGUAGGGGAACCUGC